rnacentral:rRNA from 1 species
UACAGAGGUCUCAAGCGUUGUUCGGAUUCAUUGGGCGUAAAGGGUGUGUAGGUGGCGCCGUAAGUCGGGUGUGAAGUUUCGGAGCUUAACUCCGAAACUGCAUUCGAUACUGCGGUGCUUGAGGACUGGAGAGGAGACUGGAAUUCAUGGUGUAGCAGUGAAAUGCGUAGAGAUCAUGAGGAAGACCAGUGGCGAAGGCGGGUCUCUGGACAGUUCCUGACACUGAGGCACGAAGGCCAGGGGAGCAAACGGG